rnacentral:antisense_RNA from 2 species
AGUCAUGAUGGCUAUUCUCGUGAAAUAGUUACUGUGAUUAGCGAUGUGCAGGUGUUGGCGCACCUUCGCAUCGCGCU